AACGUACGCUGGCGGCACGCCUAACACAUGCAAGUCGAACGAAGUAGCAAUACUUAGUGGCAGACGGGUGAGUAACAUGUAGGUAUCUGCCCUUUGGCCUGGAAUAACACGAGGAAACUUGUGCUAAUACCGGAUAAGUCUUUACGGAGAAAGCUUUAUGCACCAUUGGAUGAGCCUGCACUUGAUUAGUUUGUUGGUGGGGUAAUGGCCUACCAAGACUGUGAUCAAUAGCUGAUUUGAGAGGAUGAUCAGCCACAUUGGGACUGAGACACGGCCCAAACUCCUACGGGAGGCAGCAGUGGGGAAUCUUGCACAAUGGAGGAAACUCUGAUGCAGCGAUGCCGCGUGAGUGAAGAAGGCCCUUGGGUUGUAAAGCUCUUUCGUCGGGGAAGAAAAUGACUGUACCCGAAUAAGAAGGUCCGGCUAACUUCGUGCCAGCAGCCGCGGUAAUACGAAGGGACCUAGCGUAGUUCGGAAUUACUGGGCUUAAAGAGUUCGUAGGUGGUUGAAAAAGUUAGUGGUGAAAUCCCAGAGCUUAACUCUGGAACUGCCAUUAAAACUUUUCAGCUAGAGUAUGAUAGAGGAAAGCAGAAUUUCUAGUGUAGAGGUGAAAUUCGUAGAUAUUAGAAAGAAUACCAAUUGCGAAGGCAGCUUUCUGGAUCAUUACUGACACUGAGGAACGAAAGCAUGGGUAGCGAAGAGGAUUAGAUACCCUCGUAGUCCAUGCCGUAAACGAUGUGUGUUAGACGUUGGAAAUUUAUUUUCAGUGUCGCAGGGAAACCGAUAAACACACCGCCUGGGGAGUACGACCGCAAGGUUAAAACUCAAAUGAAUUGACGGGGACCCGCACAAGUAGUGGAGCAUGUGGUUUAAUUCGAAGAUACGCGCAGAACCUUACCAACACUUGACAUGUUCGUCGCGACUCUAAGAGAUUAGAGUUUUCGGUUCGGCCGGACGAAACACAGGUGCUGCAUGGCUGUCGUCAGCUCGUGUCGUGAGAUGUUGGGUUAAGUCCCGCAACGAGCGCAACCCUCACUUUUAGUUGCCAUCAUUAAGUUGGGCACUCUGAAAGAACUGCCAGUGAUAAGCUGGAGGAAGGUGGGGAUGACGUCAAGUCCUCAUGGCCCUUACGUGUUGGGCUACACACGUGCUACAAUGGUAUCUACACCAGGAAGCAAGACUGCGAAGUUAAGCAAAUCCCUAAAAGAUACCUCAGUUCGGAUUGCACUCUGCAACUCGAGUGCAUGAAGCUGGAAUUACUAGUAAUCGUGGAUCAGCGUGCCACGGUGAAUGCGUUCCCGGGUCU
rnacentral:rRNA from 1 species